rnacentral:rRNA from 1 species
CACGGAGUUAGCCGGUGCUUAUUCUCCGGGUACCGUCAUCAUCGUCCCCGGCAAAAGGGCUUUACAACCCGAAGGCCUUAUCACCCACGCGGCGUCGCUGGAUCAGGCUUGCGCCCAUUGUCCAAGAUUCCCCACUGCUGCCUCCCGUAGGAGUCUGGGCCGUGUCUCAGUCCCAGUGUGGCCGACCACCCUCUCAGGCCGGCUACGGAUCGCAGGCUUGGUAGGCCGUUACCCCACCAACUACCUAAUCCGACGCGGGCCCAUCCCAAGGCGAUAAAUCUUUGGCCUCUCGGCCAUAUCCGGUAUUAGCCGCAGUUUCCCGCGGUUGUUCCGAACCUCAGGGCAGGUUCCCACGCGUUACUCACCCGUGCGCCACUGAUGGGCCGAAGCCCACCCGUUCGACUUGCAUGUGUUAAGCGCGCCGCCAGCGUUCGUUCUGAGCCAGGAUCAAACUCU